rnacentral:misc_RNA from 1 species
GAUGAAGAACGCAGCGAAAUGCGAUAAGUAAUGUGAAUUGCAGAAUUCAGUGAAUCAUCGAAUCUUUGAACGCACAUUGCGCCCGCCAGUAUUCUGGCGGGCAUGCCUGUUCGAGCGUCAUUUACCCCUCAAGCACUGCUUGGUGUUGGGCGUCUGUCCCGCUUCGCGCGCGGACUCGCCCCAAAGGUAUUGGCAGCGGUCGUGCCAGCUUCUCGCGCAGCACAUUGCGCUUCUCGAGGCGGUCGAUCGGCGUCCACGAAGCUCACCUCCACCGUUUGACCUCGGAUCAGGUAGGGAUACCCGCUGAACUUAAGCAUAUCAAUAAGCGGAGGA